CUCCCCUCUGGCCUCCAGAUGGAAACUUAACUUAGAUAACAUCCAGACCCAGUUGGAGAAUUUCUAUACUUGCUAAAGGAAAGGAGGAAACUGCCUCCUGAAUGAGCUAUAGGAACUAGUUAGUAAGUACUGAUGAGACCCAAGAGAGGAUGUGUGGGACUGGGUCCAGAGAGUGAUGGAUCAGAAGAAGUGGAACAUGAAGUAGGUUAAGUGAGAGACUGUUGACAUGGGAACAUUGUGUUAUGAUAUAAAUUUAACAUCAUAAUAAGAACACUGAGAGUGGGUGACUAAAGUGUUAAUACUGUUUUUGGAAACCCACUGUCAGAGAAGGGGUAAUUCUAGGACCACUGUGAUCAAAGAUGGAAGAAGAGACUAAGAGGCUCAGAAAAGUGAUGUGCUAGACUAACAACACUACAUGUGGCCAAAAAACCCACCAAUACAAAGGAAAAUGAACAAUGUGUACCACUUAAAGGUCUUGGACUUGGAGCACAGAAAUUGAUAUAGUCUCUUUGAAAAAAUAAGAUGAUGAAGACAGAAGUGGGAGUGAAUGACACUGAAGACAGAAUUGGUAGUUGGAGACAAGGAUGAGGGCAGGAGUAGAGAGAUGCGGAAAUUCACCAGAUGAUGUUUACUCAGAAGCACCCAGGGAAUACUUUAGAGUCUACUGAGGAGGGGAACAGUAUCUUCCUGUUACUGGCUGUCCUUGUGGAAAGAACAAACUUUUAUUAUUCCCUUGGACCAGGAACCUUUCAUAUUCAAUCUCACAGGCAAACUACAGCUUUUUCUGCUAUAACAGAGCCCUACUGACUUUGUCAGUACAUUUCUCACAGAUGCAUCCUAGAAGACCAAUAUCUACCCUGUUAUUUACUCAGAUACGUUUUGAAAUGUUCACCACAAUCUCUAGACACGUGGCUUCUUAAAAAAAAAAAAAAAGGAAAGAAAAAAGAAAGAAAAUGGACUGCCUCUUUAAAGCCCUCUCCUGGAUCCACUCUAGACUAUGCACUGUAUCCAAAACCUUUGUAUCCUAACUGCCCUAUACUCUUCAAUGAUGUCUUCCAAAUCAACAUCAGCAAGUUGUUAUUCAUUGCCUCAAAGAUGCCCAGCAGGCAUUAGACUCUGUAAAGAAAUGAGAAGUAAAAGACUUUCAGAAUUUCUUUUUAAAAUAUCUUAAAUCUUAUUGAAGUAAAAGAAAACAGACUCAUGAAAUAUACAUAUUUUUUUCUAAGAAGAAUGAGUGUAAUCAAAUGUUGAUUGUGUGAUUCUAACAGCAACUGUGUGAGAAGAUAGGAAGAGGGAGCAAUAACUGCUCUAGAUAGAGAGUCUUAAAUUGGAUUUGGAACAAUGGGCAGAGUUACACAGGCUAACCAAAGGAGGUGGAUGUAAUCUGCCAUAUAUCAGAAAGAUGGCAUAGGAGCAGAGUCUACUUAAGGUCACAGAAAGAUAAUUGUCUGGAGUUGGUACGUAAACUAAGAAACAAGUAAUGAGCAUGUCCUACAUGAAGUGAAGCACUGAGCAGGCUAAAUGAUACAGGAUGUGGAUUUGCCAGGUCAGGAUGUACCGUCUAAC
rnacentral:lncRNA from 1 species